CUGCUCACUCCAGCAGCACAUAUGCUACAAUUGGAACAAUAUGGAGAAGAUUAGCAUGAUCCCUGUGCAAGAAUGACAUGCAAAAUCUCUAAGUUACCUACAAAGAGAUCUUU
ensembl:snRNA U6 U6 spliceosomal RNA